CCUACGGGAGGCAGCAGUGGGGAAUAUUGGACAAUGGGGGCAACCUUGAUCCAGCCAUGCCGCGUGUGUGAAGAAGGCCCUCGGGUUGUAAAGCACUUUCAGUGAGGAAGAACGCCUGGUGGUUAAUACCCAUCAGGAAAGACAUCACUCACAGAAGAAGCACCGGCUAACUCCGUGCCAGCAGCCGCGGUAAUACGGAGGGUGCGAGCGUUAAUCGGAAUUACUGGGCGUAAAGCGCGCGUAGGUGGCUUGAUAAGCCGGUUGUGAAAGCCCCGGGCUCAACCUGGGAACGGCAUCCGGAACUGUCAAGCUAGAGUGCAGGAGAGGAAGGUAGAAUUCCCGGUGUAGCGGUGAAAUGCGUAGAGAUCGGGAGGAAUACCAGUGGCGAAGGCGGCCUUCUGGACUGACACUGACACUGAGGUGCGAAAGCGUGGGUAGCAAACAGGAUUAGAUACCCGAGUAGUC
rnacentral:rRNA from 1 species